UUCAAGUUAGCUUCCGAAACUUGUGGGCUCAAGCUAUUGAGCAUAUGGGUAUGGUGUAGAUUAAGUGGGUAUAUAUGCAUUGGGAAUAUUUGGAGGCUUGUUGGUGAUCAAAGCUUAGUUUGUGGCUGUUUUACUUGAGCUUGAAGAGGCUGUAAUUUUGUGUUAAGAAGCUGCCUUGGGUGAAUUAAGUGAUCGGCCAAGAUGCAGGUCGAGAGGCUCCUCGCUAGGCGUCUGGAUUCUGGAAAGCGAAGUAGUUCUUGGGUGUAUUUUGGUUUCUAUUUGUAUAUAUG